rnacentral:rRNA from 1 species
CAGUAGUUGUGGUAAUACGAAUGUGGCAAGCGUUGUUCGGAAUCACUGGGCAUAAAGCGCACGUAGGCGGCGCAGUAAGUUAAUUUGUGAAAUUCCCCGGUUUAAUUGGGGAAUUGCGGUUAAUAUUGCUGUGCUAGAGUAUGGAAGGGGAGAGUGGAAUUCUGGGUGUAGUGGUGGAAUGUGAAGAUAUCCAGGAGAAGGUUGGUAGUGAAAGGACUCUCUGGUCCAAUACUGACGCUGAGGUGCGAAAGUGUAGGUAGUGAACGGGAUUAGAUAUCCCGGUAGUCUACACCGUAAACGAUGAGCACUAGGUGGUGGAAACGCCGAUAGUUUUCUCCGCCGUAGUUAAUGUAUUAAGUGCUCCGCCUGGGGAGUAUGGUCGCAAGAUUAAAACUCAAAGGAAUUGACGGGGGCCCACACAAGCGGUGGAGGAUGCGGCUUAAUUUUUGAUAUGUGUAGAAUCUUACCGAGGCUUGACAUGCAGGGAUUAACCCAGUGAAAGCUGGGGGAUUGCCUUAUGAUGUAACCUGCACAGGUGCUGUAUGGCUGUCGACAGUUCGUGUUGUGAGAUGUUAGGUUAAGUUUUGUAAUGAGCGAAACCCCUGUGCUUAAUUGUUAGUGUGUUAUGGUGGGGAUUUUAAGCAGACUGCCCCGGUUAACGGGGAGGAAGGUGGGGAUGACGUUAAGUCAGCAUGGCCCUUAUGCCUCGGGCUGCACGCGUCCUACAAUGGGCUGUAUAAUGAGUUCCGAUCCCGCGAGGGGGAGGCAAUUUUCAAAGCAGUCCUCAGUUCGGAUUGCAGGCUGAAAUUUGCCUGCAUGAAGGUGGAAUCGCUAGUAAUCGCCGGUUAGUUAUAUGGCGGUGAAUACGUCCCUGGGCCUUGUACACACCGCCCGUCAAGCCACCCGAGUUGGGUGCGCUCGAAGUCCGAGACUCAACCUGCUUGUAGGGGAGAUUGGUCGAAGGUGAACCUGAUGAGGUGGACUAAGUCGUAAUAAG